AUACGGAGGGUGCAAGCGUUACUCGGAAUCACUGGGCGUAAAGGACGCGUAGGCGGGUUGGCAAGUCAGAUGUGAAAUCCUACAGCUUAACUGUAGAACUGCAUUUGAAACUGCUAACCUAGAGUAUGGGAGGGGGAGAUGGAAUUAGUGGUGUAGGGGUAAAAUCCGUAGAUAUCACUAGGAAUACCCAAAGCGAAGGCGAUCUCCUGGAACAUUACUGACGCUAAGGCGUGAAAGCGUGGGGAGCAAACGGGAUUAGAUACCCUAGUAGUCC
rnacentral:rRNA from 1 species